rnacentral:rRNA from 1 species
GACGAACGCUGGCGGCGUGCUUAACACAUGCAAGUCGAACGGGCCUGUCUUCUUUUUUGGGGGUGGGUUGAGUGGCGAACGGGUGAGUAUCACGUGAGUAACCUGCCCUUCGGUCCUGGAUAACCGCUUGAAAGGGCGGCUAAUACGGGGUGGUCCGGUUGGUCCGCAUGGGCUGGUCGGGAUAGAUUCACUGUUUUUGGUGUUUCGGCGGGGGAUGGGCUCGCGGCCCAUCAGCUUGUUGGUGGGGUGAUGGCCUACCAAGGCGGUGACGGGUAGCCGGCCUGAGAGGGUGGGCGGCCACACUGGGACUGAGAUACGGCCCAGACUCCUGCGGGAGGCAGCAGUGGGGGGUAUUGCACAAUGGGCGGAAGCCUGAUGCAGCGACGUCGCGUGAGGGAUGGAGGCCUUCGGGUUGUGAACCUCUGUUUCCGGUGGUGAAGGCCCUGUCCGUGUGGUGGGGUUGACGGUAGCCGGGGAUGAAGCGCCGGCUAACUACGUG